ACAAAGCAAGACAGUGUUCGUAUUCUAGGAUGCAAAACCUUGACCAGAUUCAUUCAUAGUCAGGCAGAUGGAAGUUAUGCUCACAAUAUUGAGAAAUUGGUU